rnacentral:rRNA from 1 species
UCUUGGAUACCGUAGUAUUCUAGAGCUAAUACAUGCGAAAAGACCCGACUUUUUGGAAGGGUUGCAUUUAUUAGAUACAAAACCAAUGGCCAGCAAUGGUCACACUUGGUGAUUCAUAAUAACUUUUGCGGAUCGCAUAGCUUUACGCUGGCGACGAAUCAUUCAAAUUUCUGCCCUAUCAACUUUUCGAUGGUACGGUAUUGGCCUACCAUGGUUACAACGGGUAACGGGGAAAUUAGGGUUCGGUUCCGGANAAGGGGCCUGGAGAAAUGGGCCACCACAUCCCA